GAGAAAAAGAAGGGGGGAAUCCUAGGGUUCAGUAAAACAUCCAAAACCAUCAAAGGUAGAGAUGACGAAGACAGCAGUGAUGAAGAUGACUGGUGAAUUCAAACAAUAAUAUUGUGUUCCACUCAUGCUUUCAUGUUAAACUUUUGAUUUGCUACCAGCUCAGAUAGUAUGUAUGUGUUCAUGGACACGUACUUUAUGAUAUUGAGAGUAUUGACAUUUUUUUAUUUAUUGUAUAAAGGCAAGUGUGUACCGUAUUAAAUAUUAGAUGUUGACAAAUAUGUUCAUUUAUCUGAUGAACAAAAAUUGCUUUUCAAAAAUUGUUUUAAAUGAUGAAAACUUUAUUGUGUAUCUGUAAAUCAAUUAAAUUAUUAAAACCAAAUCAUC
rnacentral:misc_RNA from 1 species